UACAGAGGGGGCAAGCGUUAUUCGGAAUUAUUGGGCGUAAAGGGCGCGUAGGCGGCUUGGCAAGUGGAAGGUGAAAUCCCUCGGCUUAACCGAGGAACUGCCUUCCAGACUGUUAGGCUUGAGACCGGGAGAGGUGAGUGGAAUUCCCAGUGUAGCGGUGAAAUGCGUAGAUAUUGGGAGGAACACCAGUGGCGAAGGCGGCUCACUGGACCGGUACUGACGCUGAGACGCGAAAGCGUGGGGAGCAAACAGG
rnacentral:rRNA from 1 species